GCAUGGAUAGCUCAGCUUGUUAAAGCAUGGUGUUGAUAACACCAAGGUUGCAGGUUCGAUCCCCAUACGGAACAGCAGCA